CUUGGGAGUAGGCAAAAUGGUAGCAGCUGGCAGCUUCUGCUUCAGAUAAAUAGAUCUCAGCAGUAACAACCUGAAUUUGCCUGUCUCUCCAGACUUCAGAUCUGCUUGUUUGCCCUGCAACCUCAGUUCUUUGAUGGAUCCAAGAAAAGGCCUUGAUUUUUGGCUUAAGAUUUUUCUUAUUGUAAGAAGAGGAGUGAUGACUUCUAAGCUGUUUACACUGAGGGCCUAAAACCAGAGAAAGAUGAAGAGGAGAGAAAGGAAGACGAGGAGCUGCAAGCAGCAGGCGCAGCACAUCCUGUCUCACGAAUAACCUCAGCACCGAAAUGAGUCUAAUAAGUUUUCUCUUAUAGAAUUUGACAAGCUGAUUCUAAAAUGUAUACAGAAAAAGAAACGUCUAAGAACUUCCAUUCCUUUCAUCAUGGCACAAUGAUAAAAACCUUAGACUGGCAGGAAAGCCACGUGAAUUCAGACCAUUAAUGUGCCAGUUACUUCAACGAACUGAUGACUCUCAACUUGCUCAUCUAUGAACUGGAUGAAUUGAAACAGAUGAACUUUAUACCUUUCCUCUCGAAUAUUCUUCAUAGCAUUUUGUAACUCAACCUUAGGUUGCAUGGCAAAAUGUAGCUUUAUUAUGUUUAAACAAUAACAUGAACAAAAAAAUGAGUUGGAUACUAUUAUCCCUUUUGGUCUAUUUUAUUUUUAAUACAAUUUGAUCUGUUUUGACCUAAGGAA
rnacentral:lncRNA from 1 species